rnacentral:rRNA from 1 species
GACGAACCGAGCGACCGUUGUUCGGAAUCACUGGGCUUAAAGGGCGCGUAGGCGGGCUGUCAAGUUUGGGGUGAAAUCCCGCGGCUCAACCGUGGAACUGCCUCAAAUACUGACGGUCUCGAGGGAGGUAGGGGCGAGCGGAACUGAUGGUGGAGCGGUGAAAUGCGUUGAUAUCAUCAGGAACUCCGGUGGCGAAGGCGGCUCGCUGGACCUUUUCUGACGCUGAGGCGCGAAAGCUAGGGGAGCAAACGGG